rnacentral:rRNA from 1 species
GCACUUGGGGGAUGUAUAGCUUCGGCUAGUUAUAUUUGGCUGUUUAAAUUAUUAUUAAAUAAAUCUUGCUUGUUGGGUGUAAACAAAUCAAGCAUAUGAUAUUAUUUAAGGAUAGUUUAUUCACUUUGAUCGUUUGGCUUGCUAGUGCUGCAAUUUAAAUUGCAUCGAUCAAUUAAUUUACCACUAAUCACAAGAUUAUUAUGGGGAUUUUAUUUAUGUAUUGCUUGUUUAAACCAAGCAUAAAAUAACAUACAAGAUAAUGAAUAUUAAGUUCAGUGGACAGUAUAACCUCGAUUUAUUCGAAUAAAGUUCUAGAUAUAAUAGUGAUUAUGACAAUUUUAUGUCUAUAUGUCUUGACCAAAUUACGUGCCAGCAGUCGCGGUAAUACGUAUAAGACUAGUGUUAUUCAUCUUUAGUAGGUUUAAAGGGUACCUAGACGGUAUAAUUAGUCUUAAAUAGGAUACGGUUAUACUAGAGUUAUAUAUGAGAAGGGGAGUAUUUGUGGAGUAGAGUUGAAAUUCUUUGAUCCCAUGAGGACUGGUAACGGCGAAAGCAACCUUUUAUCUAAUAACUGACGUUGAGGGACGAAGGCUCGGGUAGCGAACAGGAUUAGAUACCCUAGUAGUCCAAGCAGAUAAUUAUGAAUGCCAUAGGUUAGAUAUAUAUUUAGUCUAUAAACGAUAGUGUAAGCAUUUCACCUCAAGAGUAAUGUGGCAACACAGGAACUGAAAUCAUUAGACCGUUUCUGAAACCAGUAGUGAAGUAUGUUAUUUAAUUCGUAAGUACGCGAAAAACCUUACCACAACUUGAAUAUUAUCUUUUUAUGUUUAUGUAUGCCCUUUGGCUUUAUCCUUCGGGUCCUUCGGGUCCCUGCCUACUUCGUUAGGCAAGGAAGAAGAAGUAGCCUGUGGCUGCUUUGCAAGAGCCAAGGGCUGAAAAACAGAGCAAUAAAUAUAAUAUAUUGUUUUUUUUUUUUACUUUUUUAGUAAAUAAGUUUGAGCAUGUUUAUUAUAUUUAAAGAUAUUACAAGCGUUGCACGGCUGUCUUCAGUUAAUGUUGCGAGAUAUUGGUUAAUUCCAUUAAAUUAACGGAAACCCUUGCUUUAUUUAUGUAUGCUAUGUUUCUUUGUCUUCGCAAGAGCAAGGGAAAUUAAGUAGAAAUAAAGCAGUUCACCUUUACAGCGGAAAGAUAACAGGGAUCAA